ACAAUAGUCCAGACUCAAGGAUGAGUCUUUUCCAACAAGGGGAGCUUGACACAGGAGUGUCUCAUUACACGUUCUAGUACCCAGUUCAAAAAGAGUGACGACUAAUUCUUACUUUGAUCAUAUGAGAUGCAGGGGAUGCACUAUUUUUGGAAAAAAAAACUCGCAUUGAUUUGGUGUGAAGCUGCAUGCCAUCAUAAAGAGGUCUUUGAGUCAAGAUUCAAACACAUUUUACGGAGAUUCAUUUGGAAAAUCAUGUUCAGUUUUCCAUACAAAGAUGAUGAAGAUGAUGUGGGCGGAACACUCAGAGGUGGUGGCCUAACUUGACACGAAAUUGGGGAAACUUUAGGCUGGUCUAUUCUUUCCCGUGGGUAUCUUUCUUUGACAAAAAGGAAAAUUGUAAAUAAAAUAUGAAGCUUCUGUUUCAUGUGUUGGGACUGACUUGCGAGAUUUGCCUUGAUUCUCACUCGGUUCCGCUUUCAUCCGUGCCCCCGCUGCCACGGCCUGUAUUUCAAAGUAAACCCUUCCCUAAAGAAAAUUCUUAAGAUUCUCUUUCUCGAUUGGUUUGUCUGA